rnacentral:rRNA from 1 species
AUUAGAGUUUGAUCCUGGCUCAGAUUGAACGCUGGCGGCAUGCCUUACACAUGCAAGUCGAACGGCAGCACGGAGCUUGCUCUGGUGGCGAGUGGCGAACGGGUGAGUAAUAUAUCGGAACGUACCCUAGAGUGGGGGAUAACGUAGCGAAAGUUACGCUAAUACCGCAUACGAUCUAAGGAUGAAAGUGGGGGAUCGCAAGACCUCAUGCUCGUGGAGCGGCCGAUAUCUGAUUAGCUAGUUGGUAGGGUAAAAGCCUACCAAGGCAUCGAUCAGUAGCUGGUCUGAGAGGACGACCAGCCACACUGGAACUGAGACACGGUCCAGACUCCUACGGGAGGCAGCAGUGGGGAAUUUUGGACAAUGGGCGAAAGCCUAAUCCAGCAAUGCCGCGUGAGUGAAGAAGGCCUUCGGGUUGUAAAGCUCUUUUGUCAGGGAAGAAACGGUGAGAGCUAAUAUCUUUUGCUAAUGACGGUACCUGAAGAAUAAGCACCGGCUAACUACGUGCCAGCAGCCGCGGUAAUACGUAGGGU